GGCAGUUAGAGGCGAUGAAGGACGUGUAAGUCUGCGAAAAGCUGUGGUGAGCCGACAAAAUGCAUUUGAGCCACAGAUGUCCGAAUGGGGAAACCCACCUGUUUACAGGUAUCGUUAACUGAAUACAUAGGUUAACGAGGCAAACGAGGGGAACUGAAACAUCUAAGUACCCGGAGGAAAGGAAAUCAAUAUGAUACUCCCCUAGUAGCGGCGAGCGAACGGGGAGCAGCCCUUAAGCUGUUUAGAAUUUAGUGGAAUCCUUUGGGAAGAGGAGCGAUACAAGGUGAUAGCCCUGUACACGACGGAUUCUUUACAGUGAAAUCGAGUAGGUCGGGACACGUGUUAUCUUGACUGAAUAUGGGGGGACCAUCCUCCAAGGCUAAAUACUCCUAACUGACCGAUAGUGAACCAGUACCGUGAGGGAAAGGUGAAAAGCACCCCGACGAGGGGAGUGAAACAGACCCUGAAACCGGAUGCCUACAAACAGUUGGAGGGCUUCGUGCCUGACAGCGUACCUUUUGUAUAAUGGGUCAGCGACUUAAUUUAACGAGCAAGCUUAAGCCGAUAGGUGUAGGCGCAGCGAAAGCGAGUCUUAAUAGGGCGCAUGAGUUAGAUGGAUCAGACCCGAAACCGAGUGAUCUAGGCAUGAUCAGGAUGAAGGUAAGGUAACACUUACUGGAGGUCCGAACCCACACCUGUUGAAAAAGGUCGGGAUGAAUUGUGCCUAGGGGUGAAAGGCCAAUCAAACUCGGAGAUAGCUGGUUCUCCGCGAAAUCUAUUUAGGUAGA
rnacentral:rRNA from 1 species